rnacentral:rRNA from 1 species
ACGAACGCUGGCGGCGUGCUUAACACAUGCCAGUCGAACGGGCCCGCUCUCUUUUUUGGGGGUGGGUUGAGUGGCGAACGGGUGAGUAUCACGUGAGUAACCUGCCCCCUGCUCCUGGAUAACUGCUUGAAAGGGCGGCUAAUACGGGGUGUGCCGGCUGGUCCGCAUGGGCCUGGUCGGGAUAGUUUCAUCUUCGGGUGUUUCGGUGGGGGAUGGGCUCGCGGCCUAUCAGCUUGUUGGUGGGGUGAUGGCCCACCAAGGCGGUGACGGGUAGCCGGCCUGAGAGGGUGGGCGGCCACACUGGGACUGAGACACGGCCCAGUCUCCUGCGGGAGGCAGCAGUGGGGGGUAUUGCACAAUGGGCGGAAGCCUGAUGCAGCGACGUCGCGUGAGGGAUGGAGGCCUUCGGGUGGUGAACCUCUUUCUCCGGUGGUGAAGGCCCUGUCCGUUGCGGCGGGGUUGACGGUAGCCGGGUAUGAAGCGCCGGCUAACUACGUG